UUGGCUCAGGAUGAACGCUGGCGGCAGGCCUAACACAUGCAAGUCGAACGGUAACAGGAAACAGCUUGCUGUUUCGCUGACGAGUGGCGGACGGGUGAGUAAUGUCUGGGAAACUGCCUGAUGGAGGGGGAUAACUACUGGAAACGGUAGCUAAUACCGCAUAACGUCGCAAGACCAAAGAGGGGGACCUUCGGGCCUCUUGCCAUCAGAUGUGCCCAGAUGGGAUUAGCUAGUAGGUGGGGUAACGGCUCACCUAGGCGACGAUCCCUAGCUGGUCUGAGAGGAUGACCAGCCACACUGGAACUGAGACACGGUCCAGACUCCUACGGGAGGCAGCAGUGGGGAAUA
rnacentral:rRNA from 1 species